CAAGCGAAAUGAGUUUUAGUUUGAACCCCCGAAACUAGGUGAGCUACUUCGAAAUAGUUUUAAGAACAAACCCGUCUCUGUUGCAAUAGAGUGGGAUAAUUUCCAAGUAGAGGCGACAAACCUACCGCACUUAGAGAUAGCUGGUUACUCAAGAAAAGAAUAUAAGUUCAACCCUAAGCUUUAAAAUUAUAUAAAAAUUACCUAAAACUUAGGAGCUAUUCAAAUAAGGCACAGCUUAUUUGAAACAGGAUACAACCUACAACAUUGGGUAACAUACCAGAGCUGGUAAUAAGUGGGCCUAAAAGCAGCCACCUUUCAAAAAGCGUCAAAGCUUUCUACCUAUUCUACAUAGAUACCUUAACUCAUUUGUAACCCAUUACUAAUAUUGAGUAAUUCCAUAAACCUAUGGAAAAUAUAAUGCUUGAACUAGUAACAAGAAAUAAAAUUUCUCCAAAAUGUAAGCUUAAGCCAUAAUAGACUACCUGCUGGCAAUUAACGUAAAUGAAAACACUAUAUUAACUUAAACAAGAAAAUCCUAUAGCCCGCAACGUUAACCUUACACUAGAACAUUAAUGGAACGAUUUAAAGAGAAAGAAGGAACUCGGCAAAAUUUAACCC
rnacentral:rRNA from 1 species